rnacentral:rRNA from 1 species
GCGCAGAACUCCGAUUGCGAAGGCAGCGUACCGGCGCCACACUGACGCUGAGGCACGAAAGCGUGGGGAUCGAACAGGAUUAGAUACCCUGGUAGUCCACGCAGUAAACGAUGAAUGCUGGUUGUCCGGGUCGAAUGAGAUCUGGGCGGCGAAGCGAAAGCGAUAAGCAUUCCACCUGGGGAGUACGCCGGCAACGGUGAAACUCAAAGGAAUUGACGGGGGCCCGCACAAGCGGAGGAACAUGUGGUUUAAUUCGAUGAUACGCGAGGAACCUUACCCGGGCUCAAACGGGAGCGGAAUGGACCAGAGACGGUUCAGCCUACGGGCCGCUUCCGAGGUGCUGCAUGGUUGUCGUCAGCUCGUGCCGUGAGGUGUCGGCUUAAGUGCCAUAACGAGCGCAACCCCCGCCGGCAGUUGCUAACGGGCAAUGCCGAGGACUCUGCCGGGACUGCCGCCGCAAGGCGAGAGGAAGGCGGGGAUGACGUCAAAUCAGCACGGCCCUUACGUCCGGGGCGACACACGUGUUACAAUGGGCGGUACAGCGGGAAGCCAGGCGGCGACGCCGAGCGGAACCCGAAAGCCGUUCUCAGUUCGGAUCGGAGUCUGCAACCCGACUCCGUGAAGCUGGAUUCGCUAGUAAUCGCGCAUCAGCCAUGGCGCGGUGAAUACGUUCCCGGGCCUUGUACACACCGCCCGUCAAGCCAUGGGAGCCGGGGGUGCUUGAAGUGCGUCGCCGCGAGGCGCGCCCUAGAGCAAAACCGGUGACUGGGGCUAAGUCGUAACAAGGUAACCGUAA